rnacentral:rRNA from 1 species
GGGGAAAAGGAAGAAAGGCGGUGCUCCAUCAACUGGGAGGAGUUGUAUAAGCCAAAUAUGCAAAACGAGGGGUUGGACAAUCCUUUCUCAGAACCUGAAGUUUGGGCUGCUAUCAUGGCAUCUCCAUCAGAGAAAGUGCCAGGCCCCGACGGCUUCUCAGGAACUUUCUUUAGAGCUUGCUGG